GUCCGGAGCACUCCUUCCCUUCCCGGGUUCCUCAAGGCACGGCUCCCCCAGGCAGAUGAAAGCUUAAUGGAGUUUUGCGAUAUGAAAGUCAGUCGGAGGAAAGAGCCUUGAACAGUUCUGCAUGAGAGCGAGGCAAGCGCCCGAAAUUAUUUUACCACAAAGGCAGCGCUCUCUGCCACAAAGGCACGGAGGAGAAAGGAGCCCGGGAAACGGGUCAUUUCUUUCGUGGAAAAAUGGAAACUGUUCUGAAGCAUUUUGGGAGACGUGCUGUGAAGUAGGUGACACCGGAAGACGAGGACACUGGGGGCUCCCUGCCAGGAGGUGCAAAAAGCAACUCCCGUUCAAGGGUCAGAGGAGCCUGGAUGCUAAUGUCUCUCCAAGGUGACUUGGAGCCAACUGCCGGAAAGGCCACACCCUUAGGAACAUAGGUAGGUCCCAGCUCAGGGAUGUGCUGUGUGACCUUCUUCAAGUUCCCGACCCUCUCUGGGCUGCAGUCACCUUAUUCAGAAAAUGGAGAGGCUAGGCAAGAAAAUGAUGCUAAUCUCACCCUUUUCCGAGCUGGCAUUUUAUUGAGCACCUACUAGGCGCUGGGCAUUUUGCUAGGCCCUUCGUGCACACUGCCAUGAGAAAUCCACAGCAACCCCAGAGAUGGGUUCAUCAAUAACUCACCAGCAAAUACUUCCUGAGGCCCCACUGUGUGCCGAGCAUGGGCAUAGGUACUGGGCACACCUUGAUGAACAAGGGAGGUAAAGAUGUGACUCUCCUAGACCUUUCUGUCUAGAAGAGGAGAUGGAGAAUAAACAUGGAAACAAGCAAGAUCAUUCUGGAGAAAAUGCAAUCAGAUGAUGUGCUAGAUGGUAACAGAGAGAGGCCGCAUGAGAGAGAGGGCCGUGACAGCCUCUCUGAGAAGCUGAAAUCCAAGCAGAACCCGAAAGACGAGGAGAAACUCAGAUACAUAAAGACUGGGAAAAGCAUUCAAGUAGAGGGAACAGUGUGUGCAAAGGCCCUGAGGUGGGUGCAAUAGAUACCACAGGCCCCCUCACUCGAGACCACUCCAAGCACCUCCUGCCCUCUUGUGCCACAGAGCUCAGAAAGCUAAAGCAAUGUUCCCCAGAGGUCCUGUGGCCAAGGUCCUGCAUGGGCCUGGGUGACCCCUGCAGAAGCUUCUGAGGAAGACUGAGCAGGGAAAGAAAGGCCAUGUCAGAAAACCACCCUCCAGUGAGCAUGGAGGCAGAGAGUCUCAUCCUGGCAUCCCAGGUGCUGAGCAGAGCAGACAGCAGCAGAGGGGCUCCCUAGAGCAGCUGGGGGCCCUGCCUGUGCCGUCGCUCUUUCCCCUCCCUGCCCUCUGGUCUGACAUCCCAUUGGCAUCACACACAAUGCCUCCCCGAGGCGCUUUUGUGCACAGAGCAGGUCAAAGUGCCAGAGAAUUAGAUCCUGUCCUCUUGGGAACAGCCCUCAGCCAGCAGUGAGCCCUUAGGAAGAUGCUCCAAGUUCUGUCCUCCCCGGGUCCAGAGGCCCUGGGAUGGAGCGCCAUUGUGGAAGCAGUGACAGCUUGAUGAAGCUCCCUGGGCUGGCCCCUUCCUCCCUGCCUUGUUCCCCGUUCCCUGCAGUCCUGCAAUC
rnacentral:lncRNA from 1 species